rnacentral:rRNA from 1 species
AUACGGAGGGUGCAAGCGUUACUCGGAAUCACUGGGCGUAAAGCGCGCGCAGGCGGUCUUUUAAGUUGGAUGUGAAAGCCUACGGCUCAACCGUAGAACUGCAUCCAAAACUAUUAGACUAGAGUGUGGGAGAGGAAGAUGGAAUUAGUUGUGUAGGGGUAAAAUCCGUAGAGAUAACUAGGAAUACCAAAAGCGAAGGCAAUCUUCUGGGACACUACUGACGCUGAGGCGCGAAAGCGUGGGGAGCAAACAGGAUUAGAAACCCUAGUAGUCC